rnacentral:rRNA from 1 species
UGCAGGCUACAGGCGACGACGGGUAGCCGGCCUGAGAGGGUGAUCGGCCACACUGGGACUGAGACACGGCCCAGACUCCUACGGGAGGCAGCAGUGGGGAAUAUUGCACAAUGGGCGAAAGCCUGAUGCAGCGACGCCGCGUGAGGGAUGAAGGCCUUCGGGUUGUAAACCUCUUUCAGAAGGGAAGAAGCUAAAGUGACUGUACCUGCAAAGUAAGCGCCGGCUAACUACGUGCACGCCGCCGCGGACC